UACGUAGGUGGCAAGCGAUACUCGGAAUCACUAGGCGUAAAGCGCAGGUAGGCGGUUCGGUAAGUCUUUUGUGAAAGCUCCUGGCUUAACCGGGAGAGGUCAAAGGAAACUACCGGACUAGAGUUUGGUAGGGGAUACUGGAAUUCCUGGUGUAGCGGUGAAAUGCGUAGAUAUCAGGAGGAAUACCUAUGGCGAAAGCAGGUAUCUGGGCCACAACUGACGCUGAGCUGCGAAAGCUAGGGGAGCAAACAGG
rnacentral:rRNA from 1 species